UCAACUUUUAUCUUUGGCUUACUUGUUAUAUAGUAGCAACAAUUAAUGUAUGCCAUGAUUAAUAAAAGUACAAUCUCUUCAAGACCAAUCAUUCCUUGUUAACAUACACCAGGUGGACCAAUCUUAUCAAUAGAACAUGAAAUCGAAUGGCCAGGAACAAAUGUUGGGAUAGAUUUGGCGAAUGUAGAAGAUGAAUAUACUGGGCAGGAAUUGAACCAAUGUUUUUCCGUUAGUAGUGUAAGGCUAUAUAAAUUCGGUAGCUGAAACGAAAUCAAUAAUUGACAAAAAUAUUUUUGCAUGAAAUAAAAUCAAUAAUCAACGAAAAACUUUUCUGCAUGUAAAUCAAAUGCUUAUGAUCACAGACAACUAUUUACGUAAAUAUAAUAUCUACUGUACUUGUACUCUCCUUGAGCAUGAUUUCUGUAGAAUAAGAAUAAAACAAUAUAAAGAAAGGAACAAAUCAGUAAAUAAACAAUUACCCUAAUCCAUGCCGUUAAUGAAUCCUCGUACAUCUUUUAUUCCAAUCAACAACAUGCAGCAGAAAUUAGCCCAUAAUUAUGGCUAUAGAAAUUGGGUACCUGAAACAAAACAAAAACAUACCAAUUAAGCAAAGGCCAUAAUGAUACAAUUCAUAUCCAUGCAAUGGCAUGAGAACGAUUGCAUCAAAAGCUAAGAGCAAUUUUAGGAAGAGAAAUGCAAUGUUGUUGCUCAAACGGCAAUAAGUAGCCAAGAAGUAAUGUCUGAAAUUUGGAUAAAUUAUUUCUCUGAGACGAAACAGAAGUCACGGACACACAUAUGCAUACCCAAUAUCCCUAUGUACGUACCCAGAAUGACUUAACCUUGCAACCUUUCCAUCGGGAGCCAGCCGCUGGCACGUACGUCCGCUCCACUACGCCUGAGAUACCCGAGGCGACGUUGCUCAAAAGACCAGAG
rnacentral:lncRNA from 1 species